rnacentral:rRNA from 1 species
UACGUAGGGGGCAAGCGUUGUCCGGAAUCAUUGGGCGUAAAGAGCGUGUAGGCGGCCUGAUAAGUCGGUUGUGAAAGUCAAGGGCUCAACCCUUGAAUGCCGGCCGAUACUGUCAGGCUAGAGUCCGGAAGAGGCGAGUGGAAUUCCUGGUGUAGCGGUGAAAUGCGCAGAUAUCAGGAGGAACACCGAUGGCGAAGGCAGCUCGCUGGGACGGUACUGACGCUGAGACGCGAAAGCGUGGGGAGCGAACGGG